GCUGGCGGAGUGUGUGGCACAGCCCCGGGAAAGGGCCAUAAGAAUUAAGAUGGAGGAACUUCACUUCCUACUUCUGGGGAGCACACUGGGGCACGACGGAGCUACCUGAGCGGUACCACUGAUGCAGAGCAGCCUCCACACAGCUGCUCUGAAUGACUGAUGGACAUGAGGGAGAGGCAGGGACCACCAUGUCCCCCUACCACCCUGAAACGAAUGCAGGACAUGGAUGCAAGUUCUGAGCACAGUGGCAAAAUUUCCCUUAUUUAUCAUUCCCUUUUGACAUGGAGCUUCCUGCAGCAGCCUUUCACGCAAACACAGCAUGAGCUUAAGCAUCUCCACAGGAAAAUAUAUUUUCUUUAAUUUCCUACACAUUUUUUCCUAGAAUAUAAAAGGACAAUACACACUACAUUCCUCCUUCCUUCCUUGGGCAGUCCUGCCCCACUGGGACCUCCAUUCAAAACUAGAAUUCAAUAGCUUUCAGGGAAAGCAGAAAACAUUUCCAGUGGCAAUUCAAGAAAGGCACCAAACUACA